UUUGAUUUCAAAAGUUCCGGAGCCGUGAACGCCGAGAACACGUGCGGCGACUCCGUGUCCACCGUCAGAGAGACGCUGAUUGUGAAUAUCAUCAAUACGGCACCGGUGAUUACUAAUCCUGGGGGCUCUAGCGACGUCGCCGAGGACGUCAGCGGAACGUUGACGUUAAAGACGUUGGAUUUUGUUACUUUGGAGUAGUCUGAUGCCACCUGCUCAUUGACGAGCGCUGACGGAGGACCAUUCGCCGUCACUGGCAACCAAAUCGUAAAGACGGCUGGAGCUCUGGACUUUGAGACAAAGGCAACGUAUAAUCUUGACGUCACGUGCACUGACGACCUUCUUCAAACCACGGAUACUUACGUCGUCAAAGUCCAAAACGUCGGUCCAAAGACAACGAGUUUGCCGACGGCGUCUACUCUGGACGAGUGGCAGACUGCGGAAAAGCUACUCACGACGUUGACGUUAGCGGAGGACGCGGCUGACUGGGUUUAAACGUCACCGACGUAUAACGAGUUUAACGUCAAAUACGAGCCCGCCACAAAAGUUUUAAAACAUAUGGGUGAUCUACUACGUCAGCGAGGCGGUUGCGGGGCGGUCGCUUAGCUACGACACGAACCCCUUUUACAACCUGCACAUUGAGUACAGCGACGCCGCGGGGGUCAAAGGGGCGGAGAAGAUUUUCACCGUCCAUAUUAACGAUAACAAAGCACCGACGAGCGACAACCUUAGCAGGUUGCCUAUUACAAAACUUAGCCUCGUCGCAAAAGACUUCAGCGCUACCGACACCGUGUUUACCGCUACCGGAAGUGACGUGGAAAACGAUAACGUCAUCUACAGUAUGCUGUCCUGUACCCCGAAUGCCACGUGCCCAUUCAUCAUGU